UACGUAGGGUGCAAGCGUUAAUCGGAAUUACUGGGCGUAAAGCGUGCGCAGGCGGUGAUGUAAGCCAGAUGUGAAAUCCCCGGGCUCAACCUGGGAACUGCAUUUGUGACUGCAUCGCUAGAGUACGGCAGAGGGGGAUGGAAUUCCGCGUGUAGCAGUGAAAUGCGUAGAUAUGCGGAGGAACCCCGAUGGCGAAGGCAAUCCCCUGGGCCUGUACUGACGCUCAUGCACGAAAGCGUGGGGAGCAAACAGG
rnacentral:rRNA from 1 species